rnacentral:rRNA from 1 species
UACGUAGGGGGCAAGCGUUGUCCGGAAUUAUUGGGCGUAAAGGGCGCGCAGGCGGUCUCUUAAGUCUGAUGUGAAAGCCCACGGCUUAACCGUGGAGGGUCAUUGGAAACUGGGAGACUUGAGUAUAGGAGAGGAAAGUGGAAUUCCACGUGUAGCGGUGAAAUGCGUAGAGAUGUGGAGGAACACCAGUGGCGAAGGCGACUUUCUGGCCUAUAACUGACGCUGAGGCGCGAAAGCGUGGGGAGCGAACAGG